ACCCUAAAAGCUAGCUCAGACACCAGAAACCAACAAAAACAUCUUCAUAACCCCCCACAACCCAACCAUUAAUAACCAAACCAUUUUUCCCCCUAAGUAUGGGAGACAGAAAAGGGCCUCAGACGCUAUAGAUAAAGUACCGCAAGGGAAAGCUGAAAGAGAACUGAAAGAAUGCAGUAAAGGACAUAAAAGCAGAGACUGGCCCUUGUACCUUUUGCAUCAUGAUUUAGCAAGCAACAAUCAAGCAAAGAGCACUUUAUGUUUGAAACCCCGAAACCAGACGAGCUACUCCGAGACAGCCUACUGUAGGGCGAACCCGUCCCUGUGGCAAAAGGGUGGGAAGAGCUCCGAGUAGAGGUGAUAAACCUACCGAGCCUGGUUAUAGCUGGUUGCUCGAGAAAUGAAUAGAAGUUCAGCCCUUUCACAACUCGCACCAAGCAAGGGCAAGCCCGCCCCUCGGACACGAGACUAACUAAAGGAGUUAUUUAAAAGAGGAACAGCUCUUUUGAAAAAAGACACAACUUUACAAGCAGGCCAAAGAUCAUAAUCACUAAGGAAAGUCACCCGGGUGGGCCUAAAAGCAGCCAUCCCCGAGGAAAGCGUUAAAGCUCAAGUGAUCUCCUCCCUCUAAUUCAGAUAAACAAUCUUUUCCCGCUUAAAUCUAUCGAGUCAACCCAUGCACGCAUGGGUAAGAAAAUGCUAAAAUGAGUAAUAAGAGAGCAAGACUCUCUCAAGAGCCCCCGUGUAAAUCAGAACGAACCCCCACUGAAAAUUAACGCCCCCAACCCCAGAGGGAAAUGACAAGUAAAAGUAAAGACAAGAAGUCCCCCCAGCUAGCCAAGCGUUGACCCCACACAGGCGUGCUCCUAAUGAAAGACAAAAAGAGAGAGAAGGAACUCGGCAAACACUGGCCUCGCCUGUUUACCAAAAACAUCGCCUCUUGCCUAUGUAACAUAAGAGGUCCCGCCUGCCCUGUGACGAAAGUUUAACGGCCGCGGUAUUUUGACCGUGCGAAGGUAGCGUAAUCACUUGUCUUUUAAAUAAAGACCUGUAUGAAUGGCACGACGAGGGCUAAGCUGUCUCCUUUCUCCAGUCAAUGAAAUUGAUCUGCCCGUGCAGAAGCGGGCAUGCUUCCAUAAGACGAGAAGACCCUAUGGAGCUUAAGACACCAAAGCGGAACACGUUAAACCCCCUAUGUAAAAAGGAAAAAACCAAGUGCUCCCCGCUUACCUGUCUUUGGUUGGGGCGACCGCGGAGGAAAGCACAGCCUCCACAUGGAAUGGGCCUAUUGCCCUAAAAUCAGAGCCACACCUCUACUUACCAGAACAUCUGACCCCUCAAGAUCCGGCAAGACCGAUCAACGGACCCAGUUACCCUAGGGAUAACAGCGCAAUCCCCUUCUAGAGCCCAUAUCGACAAGGGGGUUUACGACCUCGAUGUUGGAUCAGGACAUCCUAAUGGUGCAGCCGCUAUUAAGGGUUCGUUUGUUCAACGAUUAAAGUCCUACGUGAUCUGAGUUCAGACCGGAGAAAUCCAGGUCAGUUUCUAUCUAUGAUGCCCUCUUUUCUAGUACGAAAGGGCCGAAAAGAGGGGGCCCCUGCUAUAAGCAAGCCCCGCCCCGACCUAGUGAGCCCCACUAAAAAAGGUAAAGGGGAUCCCCCUUACGCCUGAGAAAAAGGCAA
rnacentral:rRNA from 1 species